rnacentral:rRNA from 1 species
AUUGAACGCUGGCGGCAGGCCUAACACAUGCAAGUCGAGCGAGCGGCGGACGGGUGAGUAAUGUAUGGGGACUGCCCGAUAGAGGGGGAUAACUACUGGAAACGGUGGCUAAUACCGCAUACUAUCGGAUAACCCCUAUGGGAUUAGCUAGUUGGUGGGGUAAAGGCUCCCCUAGGCGACGAUCUCUAGCUGGUCUGAGAGGAUGAUCAGCCACAUGGGGAUUGAGACACGGCCCAGACCCCGACGGAGGCAGCAGGGGGGAAUAUGGCACAAUGGGGGAAAGCCUGAGGCAGCCAGGCGGCGGGUAUGAAGAAGGCCUUAGGGUUGUAAAGUACUUUCAGCGGGGAGGCGUUACCCGAAGAAGAAGAACCGGCGAACUCCGUGCCAGCAGCCGCGGUAAUU